ensembl:lncRNA
CCGCGGUCGUCCGGCGGCAAGACGCUUUUAAAUACAAGGCUACUCUCAAAAUCGACCGGCCAUGUUGGUUUGGACACACAUUCGCAUCAGUUCGUCGCUCAAUCGCGAGUUACAGCCUGCAGUUUGCUAGCUAGCAAAGUCAUCGACUACCAUCGUUUAAAUACCUUAACCGGUUAUGCUCUGGCCAUCUUCACCCAAGAGACCUACUGUUGGUCAAUUGUUUUGGCUUUAAAGGUAAAUGCAUUGUUAGUCACACUGUCUAGUCACUGGGCCAAAAGGAAAAUAAUAUUGAAAAGAGUUGAGAGGGACAAACAGGACAUUCACUUGAAUCACUACAUGCUACAGAAGUUGCAUCGAUUCCAGAAAACCAGGAAAAUGUUGAGCCAUCUGUAGACUUCAGAGCUGAACCAGGUUUCUCCCCAGUAAUCCAGACUCCACUUCACAGAGCCAAGAGUUUGAGUACAAGUAAGUGAUGUUAUUAGUGACGUUUUUUGUCUUGGAAACUAUUGCUUCUAUUUAAGAUUAGGAAUCCUUUUAUCCAUAAUCUGUUUUUCAUUAGGGCACUUGACUUUCUGGAUAAAAGGUGUCGAGGUGUGUUGUACAUAUCAUUAGCUUUGCACAGUUCAAUUAUUGUUUCAUUACUGAAUAUGCAAUCUCUGCAGUGAAAUUAAAGCUGUUAUGUUUGUUCCCCCAGCUCGUCAAGUACUAAGCUUUACACCACCAGCAGCAAAUUUACACUGGCAGCAUAUGGGUGAAAACGCUGGAUGCAUGUAAUACGUUGCGCUAAACUAAGUUUUACAUUUAAGUCCAAUUCAUUAAAUGUAUGCAAUUACUUCAAACAUAUUUUUACGUCAAUGAUUAUCAAUAGGAGAAAGUAAUCACUUUGUUAUUGGCCCUUGGACGCCCCUGGCAUCUCGUGUACAGCACAAAGUUUUCAGCUAUGAAGGUAUAUUCUAGGCCUAUGUCUUAUUGUCCAGUGUUUUAACAGUAUUGAAAAUAUUGCCUUUAGUAGUUGUUUUUUUAAUUUUUUUAUGUAGAUUUCCAGAGACUCCAGAAUGAAAACCAAGCCCUGAGGGAAUGCAAUGCACAAGCAGCUUCGGAUGACAGCGGCUCACUUCAAGAGCAAGUGAAGCAAGUAGGGACAAUGUUGAAGACGUUUGCUCUCACUGGGCAAUCAGGUGCGUUACCUAAAAGGAGCAUCGGACCGUGAAGGCAGAAAAAGGCGCCGCACAGCUGAGAAGGACCCACAGCCGACCCCUAAACCUAGGCUACUGACACCCCAGCAUCACUGAACUGGAACACUUUCUUUAUCCUGCAGUCAGUAACAUCAAGAAGCCAGAAGUGCCAGACUACACUCACCAAAUCCACCCUGUUUUUUUUGGUAUUUUAACUUUAGUAUUGGCUUAUUUCAUUCCGUCUUAACGAUUCUAUUAUAGUUUGUAAAUCCUUUUUCAUACCUGUUACUUGAUAUUGCACAUUAACUAGUACCAAAAUUCUACUUUCAUUUCAUCAGUGUGCUUAACUGUUAUUCUAUUAAUAAUAGCUUGGAAAUACUAUUUCAUACCUCUGAUACUUGAUAUUGCACAUUACCUGGUACCAAAUAUUCUACUUACUCUGUUUUUAACAUCAGCAUUUUUCAUUCCGUCACAGUGCUUAACUGUUAUUCUAUUGUUAAAUAUAGCUUGUAAAUCCUUGUGCCACAGGUCAGCAUUGCAUUUAUAAUGGUCUGUUCUACUACUGUUUUUACCUCCGUAUUUUUAUAUAAAUAUAUAUGUCAAGUUUUGUUUAUCACAGAUACAAGAGACAGAUCUUAUUGCAGCACGGUGUAAAUCUUGUGCUACAGGUCAGCAAUGCCAUUAUAAUGGUAUAUUCUACUCUAGAGCUUUACUCUAAAUUAUUACCACUUUUCCUAUUGUUAGAAAUGGCUUGAAAAUGUGAUGUUAUACCUCGAUUUAUUUGGUAUCCUGCAUGUUCUUUGGUACCAAAUAUCCUCAUUACUUGUUAUGUUUACUGGUAAUUAUUUUCAUCCCAGAGCUGACCUUUUUAUAUUAUUAACAAUUAUUGUGUUUGUGUUAUAAUUUGCUCGUAUUGCUGUUUUUUUUUAACCAAAAUUUAAUUGGAAACCUGCAUGUUCUGUAGUGUGUAUUUAUAUGUAUAUUUUUUUCUGCCUGUUAUUUAUUUCAGUGAUCUGACACAUCUUGUUUGAAUGACAGUUACUGUACUUUGAAAUGUGGAAUUAAAACACC